CACAACUUACUGUGCGACGUCCCCACAAAUUCAAGAAUGUUUCCAGCACAGACAGAACGGCGGCGAGGGAAGCGCUGGCCGCUCAGGACGUGAUCGCAGAGCAGAGGGGCCCCUCCUGCCACCUGCAUGGGGGUCCCCGCAGGGCGCAGGGGCCCCCUGGUGGCGCAGUGGUUCCGAGUUGGGCGGCAGGCGGCGAGAUCGGCAGUUGGAAACCACUGGCAGCUUCGUGGGAGAGACACUGGGCUUUACGGCCGCGAACAGUUGCGUCUUGGAUCAACGGGGCUCGCUGUGAGUCAGCAUGGACUCGAUGGCGGGGAGCCGGUGCCCGCACCAGCCUGGAUGCCGGAGCUCAGAGUCCUCCUGCAUCCAUUUCAAACGACCUGAGACCCACAAGAGCUUUGGAGCAAAGGCAAGUCCCACGUCUGCUGCCCACGUCUCAAAUUCAGUGGAGAGGAUUGCAUGUCUGCAAGAUCUCUCCACUCCCCAGCUCCAGUUCUCUUGAGUGUCAGUGAUGGUUUCCUAUCUCAGCGAAUUGAUGCCGAUGCAGCUUGAAACCCUUGACACUGGAAUAGUCUCAGGCUUCAUGGGUCCCAGUAGCGAAGACUUUCCUGCCUGGCAGCAGCUGGUCAAUCAGGUAUAUUUGUAACAUACAAAUGUGCAGUGAAGAUGCCUUUAAUUCUGAACUCCAUUGACUAUGCAAUUUUCCCAAAGGAGUAGUGGGUCCUCUCAUCUCAUCAGAUCACUGAUAUACAUUGCCAGUGCCUUGUCUUGUCUGAGGCGUUCAUUUCGAAUUUAGAAAUUAUAUCCACGGCCCUUGGAAAGUUGUGCAGUGUUGGACGGCAUUGGCAAAGUCGCUUUCUCUUCUUGGGUGGGAGCGCGUGUUGUCCCCUGGUCCC